rnacentral:rRNA from 1 species
AGUGAACGCUGGCGGUAGGCCUAACACAUGCAAGUCGAACGGCAGCACAGUAAGAGCUUGCUCUUACGGGUGGCGAGUGGCGGACGGGUGAGGAAUACAUCGGAAUCUACUUUUUCGUGGGGGAUAACGUAGGGAAACUUACGCUAAUACCGCAUACGACCUACGGGUGAAAGCAGGGGGUCUUCGGACCUUGCGCGAUUGAAUGAGCCGAUGUCGGAUUAGCUAGUUGGCGGGGUAAAGGCCCACCAAGGCGACGAUCCGUAGCUGGUCUGAGAGGAUGACCAGCCACACUGGAACUGAGACACGGUCCAGACUCCUACGGGAGGCAGCAGUGGGGAAUAUUGGACAACGGGCGCAAGCCUGAUCCAGCCAUACCGCGUGGGUGAAGAAGGCCUUCGGGUUGUAAAGCCCUUUUGUUGGGAAAGAAAAGCAGCAGGUUAAUACCCCGCUGUUCUGACGGUACCCAAAGAAUAAGCACCGGCUAACUUCGUG